AAUACAUGUCGCCGUUGACUUUUCACCCUAUGUUUGACCAUUCGUUUUAUUUAAAAAAUUUAUGCAAAUAUUAUUUAUUUUAUUAUGAAUUAGUUUAUUACUAUAGACAUUUUAAACUUGACUUGUAUUUUUGUAUAUUUACAUAAAUUUUUUGAAUAAGACAAAUGGUCAAACAUGUGAUAAAAAGUCAACGGCGACGUGUAUU
rnacentral:pre_miRNA from 1 species